rnacentral:rRNA from 1 species
AAGGUUACACUGUCUCCUUUCUCUAAUCAGUAAAACUAAUCUUCCCGUGAAGAAGCGGGGAUCCUUAUAUAAGACGAGAAGACCCUAUGGAGCUUUAAACGAAAUAACAUCUACCAACUCACCUAACAAUUUCAGAAAAUUAAUACUAAACUUGGUAUAAUGGUUACUAGUUUUAGGUUGGGGUGACCGCGGAGCAAAAAACAACCUCCGCAUUGAAUGGACUUACACUCCUAAACAAAAAGCCACAACUUUAUGUAUCAACACAUUGACAUCCAUUGACCCAUUAAUUUGAUCAACGAACCAAGUUACCCUAGGGAUAACAGCGCAAUCCAUUUCAAGAGCUCCUAUCGACAAAUGG